ACAGUUCCGUCGAAACGAAGAGUG
rnacentral:siRNA from 1 species